rnacentral:rRNA from 1 species
UUGAACGCUGGCGGUAUGCUUAACACAUGCAAGUCGAACGGAAACGAUACUAGCUUGCUAGUAGGCGUCGAGUGGCGGACGGGUGAGUAACGCGUAGGAACCUGCCUGAUAGUGGGGGAUAGCCCGAAGAAAUUCGGAUUAAUACCGCAUAAUCUAUUCGUAGUAAAGUGGGGGACUUUCGAGCCUCACGCUAUCAGAUGAGCCUGCGUAAGAUUAGCUUGUUGGUAGGGUAAAAGCCUACCAAGGCGACGAUCUUUAGCUGGUCUGAGAGGAUGAUCAGCCACAUCGGGACUGAGACACGGCCCGAACUCCUACGGGAGGCAGCAGUGGGGAAUAUUGGACAAUGGGGGCAACCCUGAUCCAGCAAUACCGCGUGUGUGAAGAAGGCCUGAGGGUUGUAAAGCACUUUCAAUUGUGAAGAAAAGUUAGCGGUUAAUAACCGUUAGCCUUGACGUUAACUUUAGAAGAAGCACCGGCUAACUCCGUGCCAGCAGCCGCGGUAAUACGGAGGGUGCAAGCGUUAAUCGGAAUUACUGGGCGUAAAGCGUGCGUAGGCGGUUUAUUAAGUCAGAUGUGAAAGCCCCGGGCUUAACCUGGGAACUGCAUUUGAAACUGGUCAACUAGAGUAUGGUAGAGGAAAGUGGAAUUUCUGGUGUAGCGGUGAAAUGCGUAGAUAUCAGAAAGGAACAUCAAUGGCGAAGGCAGCUUUCUGGACCAAUACUGACGCUGAGGUACGAAAGCGUGGGUAGCAAACAGGAUUAGAUACCCUGGUAGUCCACGCCGUAAACGAUGAUAACUAGCCGUUGGGGGGGAUUUACCCUUUAGUGGCGAAGCUAACGCGUUAAGUUAUCCGCCUGGGGAGUACGGCCGCAAGGUUAAAACUCAAAGGAAUUGACGGGGACCCGCACAAGCGGCGGAGCAUGUGGUUUAAUUCGAUGCAACGCGAAGAACCUUACCUGGUCUUGACAUCCUGCGAACUUUCUAGAAAUAGAUUGGUGCCUUCGGGAACGCAGUGACAGGUGCUGCAUGGCUGUCGUCAGCUCGUGUCGUGAGAUGUUGGGUUAAGUCCCGUAACGAGCGCAACCCCUAUCCUUAUUUGCCAGCACAUCAUGGUGGGAACUAUAAGGAGACUGCCGGUGAUAAACCGGAGGAAGGCGGGGACGACGUCAAGUCAUCAUGGCCCUUACGACCAGGGCUACACACGUGCUACAAUGGGAAGGACAAAGAGCCGCGAAGCCGCGAGGUGUAGCUAAUCUCAUAAACCUUUUCGUAGUCCGGAUUGGAGUCUGCAACUCGACUCCAUGAAGUCGGAAUCGCUAGUAAUCGUAGAUCAGAAUGCUACGGUGAAUACGUUCCCGGGUCUUGUACACACCGC